rnacentral:rRNA from 1 species
CAGUAGCCGCGGGAAUACGAAGGUCCCGAGCGUUGUUCGGAAUCACUGGGCGUAAAGGGAGCGUAGGCGGCGUGGUAAGUCAGAUGUGAAAUCCCGGGGCUCAACCCCGGAACUGCAUCCGAUACUGCCAUGCUAGAGGAUUGGAGAGGUAGCUGGAAUUCUUGGUGUAGCAGUGAAAUGCGUGGAGAUCAAGAGGAACACUCGUGGCGAAAGCGAGCUACUGGACAAUAACUGACGCUGAGGCUCGAAGGCCAGGGUAGCGAAAAGGAUUAGAUACCCCAGUAGUCCCUGUCUCUUAUAC